rnacentral:rRNA from 1 species
GACGAACGCUGGCGGCGUGCUUAACACAUGCAAGUCGAACGGAAAGGCCCUGCUUUUGUGGGGUGCUCGAGUGGCGAACGGGUGAGUAACACGUGAGUAACCUGCCCUUGACUUUGGGAUAACUUCAGGAAACUGGGGCUAAUACCGGAUAGGAGCUCCUGCUGCAUGGUGGGGGUUGGAAAGUUUCGGCGGUUGGGGAUGGACUCGCGGCUUAUCAGCUUGUUGGUGGGGUAGUGGCUGACCAAGGCUUGGACGGGUAGCCGGCCUGAGAGGGGGACCGGCCACAUCAGGAUGGAAAUACGACCCAGCCUACUACGGGACGCAGGGGUGGAGAAGAGUACACUAUGGGCGGAAGGCUGGUGCGGCACAGCCGCGUGGGGGAUGACAGCCUUCGGGUUGUGAACCGAUUUCGCCUUUGACGAGGCGUGAGUGACAGUAAUGGGUGAAGAAGCACCGGCUAACUACGUG